GACGAACGCUGGCGGCGUGCCUAAUACAUGCAAGUCGAACGCAGUGGGGACGGGUGCGUAACACGUGGGUAACCUCCCAUCAGAGGGGAUAACACUUGGAAACAGGUGCUAAACCGAUACUGAUGGAUGGACCCGCGGUGCAUUAGCUAGGGGGUGAGGUAACGGCUGACCAAGGCCACGAUGCAUAGCCGACGGGAGAGGGGGAGCGGCCACACUAGGACUGAACAACGGCCCAGACUCAGAUGGUAGGCAGGAGUAGGGAAACUUCGGCAAGGGACGAAAGGCUGACCUGGAAACGCCGCGUGGGUGAAGAAGUUGAUCGUAUCUGAGAACUCGGUUGUUAGAGAAUCGGUAUCUAACCAGAAAGGCACGGCUAACUACGUGCCAGCAGCCGCGGUAAUUC
rnacentral:rRNA from 1 species